GGGUGAGUUCGUUCCUCAUAGGAGCCUCCA
rnacentral:misc_RNA from 1 species